GUGUCAGCCGCCGCGGUAAGACGAGGGAUCCUAGCGUUGUUCGGAAUUAUUGGGCGUAAAGCGGGUGUAGGUGGCUUUGUAAGUCAGGUGUGAAAGCCCAGGGCUCAACCCUGGAAGUGCAUUUGAUACUGCGAAGCUUGAGUGUAGGAGAGGUUACUAGAAUUCUUGGUGUAGUGGUGAAAUACGUAGAUAUCAAGAGGAAUACCGGAGGCGAAAGCGGGUAACUGGCCUAACACUGACACUCAGACCCGAAAGCGUGGGGAUCAAACAGGAUUAGAUACCCUGGUAGUCCACGCCGUAAACGAUGGAUACUUGUUGUUGGAGGUAUUGACCCCUUCAGUGACGAAGCUAACGCGUUAAGUAUCCCGCCUGGGGAGUACGGUCGCAAGAUUAAAACUUAAAGAAAUUGACGG
rnacentral:rRNA from 1 species